rnacentral:rRNA from 1 species
UACGAAGGGGGCUAGCGUUGCUCGGAAUUACUGGGCGUAAAGGGAGCGUAGGAGGGUUAUCAAGUUGGAGGUGAAAGCCCAGGGCUCAACCUUGGAAUUGCCUUCAAAACUGAUAGCCUAGAGUAUGAUAGAGGUAAGUGGAACUCCGAGUGUAGAGGUGAAAUUCGUAGAUAUUCGGAAGAACACCAGUGGCGAAGGCGACUUACUGGAUCAUGACUGACGCUGAGGCUCGAAAGCGUGGGGAGCAAACAGG